GAACCUGAUAAAUCCAUGUCGAAAUAAGGUACAUUUUUACCCAACCGUUUGUGAAGUCGUUGGCCAACGCACUCCAAUUGGCUUAAUAAUGGCAAAGGGUUAGCUGACGUUUCUACCAGGGUAGCACUAGAAAAUGCACACGAGCACAUCAUACCUGUGCUAAUGUAAAACAUGGUUUAACUGCCUCCUAAUAAGGAUUAAAACUAAAAUGGAUAAAGAUCGUCCGGAUAUAUCCUGCAGGUGAUGGUAGUAUACCUAUAUAAGUAUAUAGAUAUUUAUUGAUAUUUUUUUUAAUGUUUAUGCACGCGUCAGAAAUAACAGAAAGGGGUGAGAGGCUUUUGCGAAAAAAAUGAGAUUUAUAAUGUAAGCGGCGUGACUGUACACAUCGGUGAACAUUUUGAGUUUUCGCUCGGAAGAACCAGAGCGAAAAGCGGAAGCUGAACUGAGACUCUUAUAAUUUUACUUAGGAGAAGCCCUAGCUGUUUUUUUGAUGAUGGACAUCAACUGCGGACAGUCUGUUUUCUUGCUUGAUAGGAAAAACGAGCUAAAUAAGCUUACGUAAGAGAGGGUAUUCACAUUCUGUAAAAGUUUAUUUAUAACUACGAAUAUGAUGUUUUCCAGUAAUAUAACGGUACUUCAAUUAAAAAUCCCCGCUUUUAUCAGUGCUUCAAUAUUGUAUUUUCUAUCCCGCCAGAUAUUGAUCUUGAUCGAAUGCGCUAUAAACACGCAGAAGUGAUAUAAGUAGCAGAUAAAGAAAUGUAUAUAUAAAAGCACACAGCAGAUUUCAAAAUGAUCAGACUGUAAAGUAUCUUGAAAUCAUCAACACACUACCAGACCAAUUUCACUAACCGCCAAAAUGAGUCAAACUCUUACCUACCUUUUGCUCUUGGUCGUCCUUAUCGCCUGUCUGACUAAUGGCGCUGUUGCGGCGGCUGAAUGGGGAUGCAGCAGCAACAGCGAAUGCGGAACGUGCAGCUGUACUGGUGGAUAUUGCGUCUGUCCCGAUAGAGUGGUCUAAAUCAGCUGAGAAGCCUUAUCGUCCUUUUAUUGAUUGAUUUCGAGAAGAACAAUGUAGCUUUAUAACUUGAUUAAUUUUUCUAAUCCACUAAAAUAAAUGAUUUAUAUUAUUCCAUAAA